GCUGGGGGUGCUGGUAGGGGGGUGCCAGUAGGGGGGCACUGUGGGCCAGUCCUAGGAGGUGGCCCUCCCUGCUGCCUCUUUUCUCAGCCAAACUGAGCUGGGUAGGGCAGCAACAAGGCCCGGGGACCAGGCUUCACUCAGGAAACGCACUCUAGGGACUCACCUGGCCAUAGCAGUCCCACCCAGGUGUUUGCUGUCGGCCAACCCAUGACCCAGGGCGUUCUGGUUGAUAGAGAAAAAGACAUUGAUUUUCAAAGUAUUUUCACUUCUGGUUGGCUCCUGUCCUGUAGCUUCUAGAACAUGUAGCAUUAGGUGUGUUUGGCAGAUGUCAGCUUUACGAGGGCAGAUAAUUUGUCUGUUUUGUUUGCUUCGGUAUUCCCAGCGCCUAGAAUGGUGUCUGGUUUAUAGGGACUCAAUAAAUACUUGAUGAAUGAGUGAAUGAAUGAAUGAGGGGCGUGGGGCCCUGAUGAAUGAUUUAUUAAGGGUACACAUCUGGUAGGUAUUAAGACUUGGUCUAGAUCUCUGGGCUCCCGGCCCCACCCAUCCAGAGCUUUCCUUGCCAAACUCUUAGAGUCUGCACUCCAGAGAAACACAGGGGCUUCUUGGACCAUGGGGCUUGGAGCUGGUGCUUCCUGCUGCCUUUUCCAGAGAUUCCCAAAGAAAUUCCCCAGAUGCCACAGUGCCACCUGCUGGCCGUCAGUGGAACUGUAAGACUCGCUAAGCGGAGCUGCAGAGUGGAGGUUCUUAUCUUACCCACUGGCAUUUUUAUCUUACCCAGACCUGCCCUCCUGCGCCCCCUCUUUCCCCUCUGUGACACCUCUUCCUGUUGUCUCAUUUCAGACACCACCCAAAUACCCCUCAUGAGUUCAGUGCCUGGCUGGGUUUAGUGUUUUUCGUGUGAACUUGAGUAGGUAUGCUUCCUCCACCAGGGGGCCUUUUGAACCUUACUGUUUCAGUGGGGAGUCUAAGACUGCCUUCUGCUAGAAGGAAAUGUAGCCUACUGGGAAAGGACAGAGCCAGGUCUGUGUACCUCUCCCUGGAGUCCCUGCCACUUGCUGUUUUGGCUUGAAGCCUUUGGCCAUUAAAGUUGCCUGGAUCCAGGCAUGGCUGGCCUCUGCUCAGGGCCAAGAGAGGAUGAGCGUUGCAAACCCAGGAAGCCCAGGUACCCUGUCUGCUUCCUUCAGGGUCUGGACCACUCCUUUCCCUAUAGGCCUUCCAGUCAGCUGGAGAGUGUUGGUGCAUGCGUGCAUGUGUGUGGGUGGGGCUGAGGUCUGGGGGUACCUGGGAUUCCACAAGGGAUUCCUCUUUGCAGGCAUGGUGCCUUUGGUGAAUUAAUUAUUUAAUUCAAUUGAUGUUUAUUAAGAUACUGAUUAAGCCCUUCCUGGGUACUUGGCUCUAGGGCAUGAUUGCCUGACCUCAUGGAAUUUGCAUUGUAGCAGGGGAGGCAGACUUGAGGCAAGGAACAGAUGACAGAGAGCAGUAACAGCUCUGAAGAAAAGCUAGAGGGUGAUGAGAUGAUUAUGACUUGGGGUGAGCGGAGAGAGCAAGACAAAGACUGCUCUGUUGGGAAGGCCUUUGACUGGGGGCCUGAAUGAUGGAGAGCCAGCCA